AAAGGAGAGGGGAGCCGGGAAUGGAAAGCCCGGUACAAGCGAGGUACCAGUAUGGUAGGAAAAUCCGCCAUGCAAUGGGAAGACGUGAUGUGGAGUGAAUUUUAGUAACGAAGCCCGUGAGCCAUGCGUCAAGAAAAGCCGCUAUCGUUCAUAUUGUACCCGUACCGUAAACCGACACAGGUGGAUGAGGAGAGAAUCCUAAGGCCGGCGGAAGAAGUAUUGCCAAGGAACUCGGCAAAAUGGCCCCGUAACUUAGGGAGAAGGGGUGCCUGCGAGAGCAGGCCGCAGAGAAUAGGCUCAAGCAACUGUUUAGCAAAAACACAGGUCUAUGCGAAACCGAAAGGUGAGGUAUAUGGGCUGACGCCUGCCCGGUGCUGGAAGGUUAAGAGGAGAGGUUAGACGAAAGUCGAAGCUUUGAAUUUAAGCCCCAGUAAACGGCGGCCGUAACUAUAACGGUCCUAAGGUAGCGAAAUUCCUUGUCGGGUAAGUUCCGACCCGCACGAAAGGCGUAAUGAUUUGAGCGCUGUCUCGGCAAUACAUCCGGUGAAAUUGAAGCGCCAGUGAAGAUGCUGGCUACCCGCGCCAGGACGGAAAGACCCCAUGGAGCUUUACUCCAGUUUGGCACUGGGGUCCGGUGUUGCAUGUACAGGAUAGGUGGGAGGCUGAGAAACGGUAACGUCAGUUGCCGCGGAGCCGCUGUUGGGAUACCACCCUUGUGAUAUUGGGCUUCUAACCAGCCGCCGUGAACCGGCGGUGGGACAAUGCCAGGCGGGGAGUUUGACUGGGGCGGUCGCCUCCGAAAGGGUAUCGGAGGCGCCCAAAGGUUCCCUCAGAAUGGACGGAAACCAUUCGAAGAGUGCAAAGGCAGAAGGGAGCUUGACUGCGACACCGACGGGUGGAGCAGGUACGAAAGUAGGGCUUAGUGAUCCGGUGGUAUUAAGUGGGAAUGCCAUCGCUCAACGGAUAAAAGCUACCCUGGGAUAACAGGCUUAUCACUCCCAAGAGUUCACAUCGGAGUGGUUUGGCACCUCGAUGUCGGUUCAUCGCAUCCUGGGGCUGUAGUAGGUCCCAAGGGUUGGGCUGUUCGCCCAUUAAAGCGGUACGCGAGCUGGGUUCAGAACGUCGUGAGACAGUUCGGUCCCUAUCCGGCGUGGGCGUAGGAUAUCUGAGAGGAGCUGUCCUUAGUACGAGAGGACCGGGAUGGACGGACCGCUGGUGGACCGGUUGGCUUGCCAAAGCCAUGGCCGGGUAGCCAAGUCCGGAAGGGAUAAACGCUGAAGGCAUCUAAGCGUGAAGCCCCCCUCAAGAUGAGAUAUCCCAUUCUUAUGAAGUAAACCCCCUUGAAGACGACGAGGUAGAUAGGGCAGAGGUGGAAGUGUGGUAACACAUGGAGCUGACUGUUACUAAUCGGGUGAGGGCUUGACC
rnacentral:rRNA from 1 species